ACUGAUUAUUUAAAGUGUAGAUGUCUACAUUUAAUCAGAUGAUUUGCGCCCUGGCCAUGUACAGUGGCAAAUAGAAGCACCAAAUGGGUAUGCAUCUUUUGCUGUGUACCCAUCAGAUGUGUCUUCAGCAUAAAUUUUAGGAUGAAAUCAAGACACACUCUUUCUCUACACCAUCAUUAGAAAGAAAGAUUUGAAAACUAAUGGAUAACACUAGCCUAGGUACCACUCUGUCUUGAGUUUUUUGCCUGCAUCUGGCUUUUAAUGGCUGGACUAAAAGUCAAAACAGAAGUUUUGAAGUUUAUGAAAAAAACAGACAAUAAGUAUGCUGUCUGGAUGUGGCUGCUCCAUCUGGUGUGAAAGAGCAGUUUCAGG
rnacentral:lncRNA from 1 species